UUUGAUCAUGGUUCAGAUUAAAUUUUUUUGGGACCCUAAUACAGGGCAAGUCAAAAGGAAAAAAAGUUUCUUCGGAGAGGGGAAAGCGGGCGAACGGGGUGAGAACGAAGGAAUUUUACCUUUCCCAAGGGGGAUAGCCGGAAACCAAAUUUAAAACCCCGCAUAAAACCCUGGGGGGGAAAAAGGGGUUUCCCCUUUGGGGAAGCUUUACGGGUUUGAUGAGCCUGGUGAGAUUAGUUUUUUGGGGGAGGAAUGGCUCACCAAGCCCGGAUCUCAGCUGGUCUGAGAGGACGAUCAGCCACACGGGGGACUGAGAACGGCCCAGACUCCUAGGGGGAGGCGGGAGUAGAGAAUUUGGACAAGGGGGGCAACCCUGAUCCAGGCAUCCCCUGGUAAGAACCUUUAGGGUUGUAAAGAAAUUUAGGGGAAAAAAAAGUUAAUGAAUCCCCCUGUUAACCGGGGCAUUUUUUUUUCCGAAUGGGGACCGGCUAACCCCGGCCAGCAGCCGCAACCCGGAGGGGGCGCUUAACCAAUUACGGGGGGUGCCCCGCGUAGGGGGUACGCUAAGUUGGGUGUAAAUCCCCAGUUUAACCUGGGAACUGCAUUAAAAACCUUGGUACGGGAGACGAAAAAAACGAGUAGAAUUCAUGGGUGUGGGCGGUGAAAGGGCGAAAGAUAUAAAGAAAAUUUAAAAUUUUGGGAAGGCAACUCGGGGGCCCGGUUUUUUGCCCUGAGGGGAAAAAGCGUGGGUAAGAAACGGGGAUUGGGUCCCGGUAGUCCACGCCGUAAACGAUGAGAACUAGCCGUUGGACCCCCGGGGUUUCCAGGGGCACAGCUAAGCAUUGGUUUUUCCCCCGGGGGAGUGGGGGCCCGAAAGGAAAAACUCAAAUAAAUUUGAGGGGGGCCCCACGGGGUGGGGGCAGGGUGGUUUAACCGGAACGCAAAAAACCUUCCCAAACCCCCCUUUAAAAUUCCAGGGGAAUUUUCGGGAGAUAGUUUUUGUGCCUUCGGGAACUUUGGCGGUGUUGCAAAAAUUGGUAAGCUCUUUUUUGUGGGGGAUUUUAGGGUUUGGGUCCGGGCAAAGCGCAACCCUUAAUCCUUUUUUUGCCGGGAAAUUCGGGUGGGAACUUUGGGAGCCCGCCGUGAAAACACGGGAAGGGGGGACGACGUAAAUCAUCAUGGCCCCUUACGGGUUGGGCUACACACGUGCUACAAUGGGAGAUACAGAUGGUUGCGAAAGCGCGGGGGGGGCCCCAACCCCAAAAGUUUUCCUUUGGCCCGGUUGGGAUUUCGGCAACUGACCCAUAAACCCAGGAAUCCUAAGUUCCGCGAAUCAGAAUGUCGCGGUGAAUACGUUCCCGGGCCUUGUACACCCGCCCGUCACGUCAUGGGGGUUUAACCAGAAGGGGGUUUGCCAACCCUUUGGGGGGCCCCAAGGUUUUAUACGACUGGGACGAAGUCGUAACAAGGUAGCCCGGGGAACCGGGGGCUGGAUCACCCCCU
rnacentral:rRNA from 1 species